AGAGUUUGAUCAUGGCUCAGGACGAACGCUGGCGGCGUGCUUAACACAUGCAAGUCGAACGGAAAGGCCCUUCGGGGUACUCGAGUGGCGAACGGGUGAGUAACACGUGGGUGAUCUGCCCUGCACUUUGGGAUAAGCCUGGGAAACUGGGUCUAAUACCGAAUAUGACCAUGCGCCUCCUGGUGUGUGGUGGAAAGCUUUUGCGGUGUGGGAUGGGCCCGCGGCCUAUCAGCUUGUUGGUGGGGUAAUGGCCUACCAAGGCGACGACGGGUAGCCGGCCUGAGAGGGUGACCGGCCACACUGGGACUGAGAUACGGCCCAGACUCCUACGGGAGGCAGCAGUGGGGAAUAUUGCACAAUGGGCGCAAGCCUGAUGCAGCGACGCCGCGUGAGGGAUGACGGCCUUCGGGUUGUAUACCUCUUUCAGCACAGACGAAGCGCAAGUGACGGUAUGUGCAGAAGAAGGACCGGCCAACUACGUGCCAGCAGCCGCGGUAAUACGUAGGGUCCGAGCGUUGUCCGGAAUUACUGGGCGUAAAGAGCUCGUAGGUGGUUUGUCGCGUUGUUCGUGAAAACUCACAGCUUAACUGUGGGCGUGCGGGCGAUACGGGCAGACUUGAGUACUGCAGGGGAGACUGGAAUUCCUGGUGUAGCGGUGGAAUGCGCAGAUAUCAGGAGGAACACCGGUGGCGAAGGCGGGUCUCUGGGCAGUAACUGACGCUGAGGAGCGAAAGCGUGGGGAGCGAACAGGAUUAGAUACCCCGGUAGUCCAA
rnacentral:rRNA from 1 species